CCUACGGGUGGCAGCAGUGAGGAAUAUUGGUCAAUGGGCGGAAGCCUGAACCAGCCAAGUAGCGUGCAGGAUGACGGCCCUACGGGUUGUAAACUGCUUUUAUACGGGGAUAAAGCUCCUUACGUGUAGGGCUUUGCAUGUACCGCAUGAAUAAGGACCGGCUAAUUCCGUGCCAGCAGCCGCGGUAAUACGGAAGGUCCGGGCGUUAUCCGGAUUUAUUGGGGUUAAAGGGGGCGUAGGCCGCAUGGGAAGCGUGCGGUGAAAUGUGCGGGCUCAACCCGGGCAUUGCAGCGCGAACUGGAGUGCUUGAGUCCGCGGACAGCAGGCGGAAUUCGUGGUGUAGCGGUGAAAUGCUUAGAUAUGACGAAGAACCCCGAUUGCGAAGGCAGCUUGCUGCAGCGGAACUGACGCUGAUGCUCGAAAGCGCGGGUAUCGAACAGGAUUAGAUACCCGGGUAGUC
rnacentral:rRNA from 1 species